CUACGGGGCGCAGCAGUGGGGAAUAUUGCACAAUGGGCGCAAGCCUGAUGCAGCAACGCCGCGUGAGGGAUGAAGGCCUUCGGGUUGUAAACCUCUUUUAGCAGGGAAGAAGCGAAAGUGACGGUACCUGCAGAAAAAGCACCGGCUAACUACGUGCCAGCAGCCGCGGUAAUACGUAGGGUGCAAGCGUUGUCCGGAAUCAUUGGGCGUAAAGAGCUCGUAGGCGGUUUGUCACGUCUGCUGUGAAAAUCCAAGGCUCAACCUUGGACUUGCAGUGGGUACGGGCAGGCUAGAGUGCGGUAGGGGGGAUGGGAAUUCCUGGUGUAGCGGUGGAAUGCGCAGAUAUCAGGAGGAACACCAAUGGCGAAGGCACAUCUCUGGGCCGUAACUGACGCUGAGGAGCGAAAGCGUGGGGAGCGAACAGGAUUAGAUACCCCCGUAGUC
rnacentral:rRNA from 1 species